GGCGAGUGGCGAACGGGUGAGUAAUACAUCGGAACGUGCCCUGUAGUGGGGGAUAACUAGUCGAAAGAUUAGCUAAUACCGCAUACGACCUGAGGGUGAAAGUGGGGGACCGCAAGGCCUCAUGCUAUAGGAGCGGCCGAUGUCUGAUUAGCUAGUUGGUGAGGUAAAGGCUCACCAAGGCGACGAUCAGUAGCUGGUCUGAGAGGACGAUCGGCCACACUGGGACUGAGACACGGCCCAGACUCCUACGGGAGGCAGCAGUGGGGAAUUUUGGACAAUGGGCGAAAGCCUGAUCCAGCAAUGCCGCGUGUGUGAAGAAGGCCUUCGGGUUGUAAAGCACUUUUGUCCGGAAAGAAAUGGCUCUGGUUAAUACCUGGGGUCGAUGACGGUACCGGAAGAAUAAGGACCGGCUAACUACGUGCCAGCAGCCGCGGUAAUACGUAGGGUCCAAGCGUUAAUCGGAAUUACUGGGCGUAAAGCGUGCGCAGGCGGUUGUGCAAGACCGAUGUGAAAUCCCCGAGCUUAACUUGGGAAUUGCAUUGGUGACUGCACGGCUAGAGUGUGUCAGAGGGGGGUAGAAUUCCACGUGUAGCAGUGAAAUGCGUAGAGAUGUGGAGGAAUACCGAUGGCGAAGGCAGCCCCCUGGGAUAACACUGACGCUCAUGCACGA
rnacentral:rRNA from 1 species